rnacentral:tRNA from 1 species
AGGGAAAUAGCUCAGUGGUAGAGUGCAUGCUUAGCACGCGUCAGGUCCUGGGUUCAAUCCCCAGUAUCUCAG